rnacentral:rRNA from 1 species
AUGGCUUCUACUUGCCAUUCCUUCGCCUCUACCUCGCCGGCUCUCGCAGCCACGGUCGCUACGGUAAUUCAUCCUCUAGUUGCAUGUUUUUUGAGCCUCAGGGAAGAUAAGAAGCAUGUGAAAUAUAUUCAGGAACAUGUCGAGGGCAUCAAAGAUUCGUUGUCCCAUAGGAUCAUCGUGAGGAAGAACCGGCUGACGACGGGCAAGGGCAUGGGGUACCUGGAGGCCAAGCACCACCUACUGCUGAGCCACUGCCAGGGCCUCGUCUACUACCUGCUACGCAAGGCCAAGGGGCUGUCUGUCAAUGGCCACCCAGUUGCGCGCAGCCUUGUCGAGAUCAGGCUGUUUCUUGAGAAGAUUCGCCCAAUAGACAAGAAGAUGGAGUACCAGAUCCAGAAGCUCACUAAUGCCGCAGAUGGUGCGGCAGCCCAGGAUAAGGCGCCAGGCGCCAAGUUCAAUGGGAAUGGCGGGCAAGAAGGCGAGGGCGACCUGUUGGGGUACCAGCCAAACCCGGAUAUGAUGGAUAUCAAAAUUGCUCCUAAAGGACACGUCAUUAAUUUCAGUUUACGACCGCCAGCUUUUGACCUUCUGUUUUUGGUCACAAAAAGGUUGCAAAUGAAAAACUAUGACCUUUCAGGGACCAAUAGUGAGGCUAAUGAUGGAGUCGAAUUCCAAAAUUCCAAUCUUAGGUUUGUAAUUCUGGUACAUCAAGGUAUAUCACGCAUGUUCAAAAGUAUCAUAUCAUUAGUAUUUACACAUGGGAUUACUCCCACAAGGGUCAAUCACAACAAGUUAUUUCCAACCAUGCAUUUCUUUUCCUAG